rnacentral:rRNA from 1 species
AAUCCGUGCUAGAAACGAUGAUGUUGGUCCCGCACAUUUGACUUGAGUUGAAAUAGAGCUUUGCUCGUGUACCAAAUCAGGUGGACUGGGCUGUCAUGGCGGAAAUGCUGUGAUGGUUUGUUCACGAAUUGUAAUCAUUAUAUGGGCGGGGGUGAAUCCUUUGCAGACGACUUGAAUGGGAACGGGGUACUGUAAGCGGUAGAGUAGCCUUGUUGCUACGAUCCGCUGAGGUUAAGCCCUUGUUCUAAAGAUUUGU